GCCCAGGUGGCGGAAUUGGUAGACGCGCCAGCUUGAGGGGCUGGUGGCCUUAUGGUCGUUCGGGUUCGAGUCCCGAUCUGGGCA
rnacentral:tRNA from 1 species